AUGAUAAAAGCUUCAUUAAGCACCACUCAACAGGCAUAAGCAGAAACAGAAAAUCUGAUUAAUAACCAUAUGUCACUUUGUUUGCCUAAACAUACGCAUCAAAAUUGUACAGGUCUUUCCACUAGUCUGGACAGCAGAUGAACCAACAUUGAAAAUGCAGGAAAGUUUCCCAACGAAUUAUCCCAGGCCAUUUUGACAAUCUUGGCAAACAUUUUGUCUGAAAAUUUACCUUAGCAU